ACUUUUUUUAAUGUAUUAGAAUCAAACUAAAUGCAUAAAACAUAACAAAUGACUCUAAAAUUAGAAAAAGUAUUUUAGGUUUGUUUUAGUGUAAAUGUGAAGAUAAAUAUAUAUUUUAUUCAAAAAUAAAAAAAAAAGAUUGGUUUUAAAGUAUCAUUGAAACUAAUUAUCUAUCCAUUUAGAUUUUAGUAUACCGUUACAGAUGAUCUAAUCAAUUUUCUCGAUAUCAAAAUGUUGUAUAGGGAAUUGGAAAUUUAUAGAAAAAUAGUUAACUCCGUAUAGUUCCUUUUCCGCAAAAUUUGUAUUGACAAUUAGAUUUUUGAUUUAUCGAUAACAAGAAACAUUACCUUAAAAAACAUUCAAAUUAGAAACUGAGAAUUACAUACUCUAAUCUAAUCUUGUUUUUGGUAGUGAUAUUUAAUAUGUAGAUCUAACGGUAGCUAGCAAGAACGCAUCUCCAUCGUAUGGCUAAAGUCUCCCCGCCUACGAACCCACAAGUCAAACGCUUUCCCGCCAAUUACCUAGAGAGACUAUGCCUUGAAGGGAAUACUAUGAAUAUCUUCCAUCUGAAAUCAAGAAGAAAAUGGAGAAUGCUAAAGUCAAGGAUCACAGAGAAAAAGUCAUGGAAAAUAAAAAUACAAAAAAGAAAAGAAAAGAAAACUACCUAAAUUAGGACGAGAGAGAGAGAGAGAGGUUGCGUUUCAGGGAACGAGGCAUGAUGCUGAAGAGGAGGAGAGGAAGCAAUGCAGUUCGGAGAUGGACGAGCCCAUGAAUUCAGUGAAGAAGAAGAAGAAGAAGAAGAAGAAGAAAAGAUGAGGUUCGACAAUGAUAGCGAGAGGGAGGAAGAUCCUAAUGCGCUGACGAAAUUCCGGAUUUCCAAGGCGUUGAGGGAGACCCUCAAGGACAAGGGAAUCGAGUCCUUGUUUCCGAUUCAGGCCAUGACCUUCAAUACCAUUCUUGAUGGUUCUGAUUUGGUCGGUAGGGCACGCACUGGUCAGGGUAAAACAUUGGCUUUUAUGUUGCCUAUAUUGGAAUCGUUGACAAAUGGGCCAGCGAAAACAUCAAGGAAGACUGGAUAUGGAAGGCCACCAAGUGUUCUUGUGCUUUUACCCACUAGGGAGCUGGCCACUCAGGUGUUUUCUGACUUUGAGAUAUACGAUGGAUCAUUAGGGUUGAAAUGUUGUUGUCUGUAUGGGGGUUCGCCAUACCAGCCACAGCAGAUUCAGUUGAAAAGAGGUGCUGACAUCGUUGUUGGUACCCCUGGUCGCAUUAAGGAUCACAUAGAUAGACAAACGAUUGACUUGAGUGCACUAAAGUUUCGUGUACUUGAUGAGGCUGAUGAAAUGCUGAGGAUGGGUUUUGUUGAAGAUGUUGAACUUAUCUUGGGCAAGGUAGAGGAUGCAAGUAGAGUCCAAACACUUCUUUUUAGUGCUACUUUACCAGAAUGGGUAAAGCAUAUUGCAGCAAAAUUUCUAAAACAAGAUAAGAAAACUACGGAUCUUGUUGGAAAUGAGAAGAUGAAGGCUAGCACCAACGUGAGACAUAUUGUUCUUCCCUGCUCUGGCUCUGCCAGAUCGCAAAUUAUUCCUGAUAUUAUCCACUGCUAUAGUAGUGGAGGCCGCACUAUUAUCUUUACGGAGACAAAGGAUUCUGCUUCCACACUAGCUGGAUUACUACCUGGAGCACGUGCUUUGCACGGUGACAUACAACAGGCUACACGUGAGGUCACACUUUCUGGAUUCAGAUCCGGAAAAUUUUCAACCCUUGUGGCUACAAAUGUAGCGGCACGUGGGUUAGAUAUUGAUGACGUCCAGCUAAUUAUUCAGUGUGAACCACCUCGCGAUGUAGAGGCAUACAUUCAUCGCUCUGGAAGAACGGGAAGAGCAGGGAAAACUGGCAUUGCUGUAAUGCUUUAUGAUCCAAGGAAGUCAAACUUUUCAAAGAUAGAAAGAGAAUCUGGGGUGAAAUUUGAACAUAUGUCAGCUCCACAGCCAGCAGAUAUAGCUAAAGUUGCUGGUGCAGAAGCUGCUGAGAAAAUAGCUGAGAUAUCUGAUAGAGUCAUACCUGUAUUUAAGGAUGUUGCUGAAGAGCUAGUGAAGUCAUCUGUUCUGUCCCCAGCAGAGUUGCUAGCAAAGGCACUGGCGAAAAUUGCUGGCUAUACUGAAAUUAAGAGUAGGUCACUUCUCACUUCAAUGGAAAACUAUGUCACCGUUCUUCUUGAGUGUGGAAAGCCCAUUUACACACCUUCCAUGCUUAAUUCUUCACGGGGCAUUGACACUAUAACUGACACAAAGCGGCAAGGAUAUACAGCACGGAUGGUGGUUUGGAUAGGCUUGUUUGGUGCAUAAAUCCUAAUUUCACUAGUAAGAAUAUAAACAGCAAUAUACAUCCAUAGUUUGAAUACAAACUCAUCCAAUCUGGUGUCUUCUGCAGUGAAAUCUGAUAAGUAAGAUUUCAAGUAAGUGUUUUCAUAAUCUUCUUCCUUCCGAAGAAAUGAUUCAUCAAAACAACAUUCAUGUCCACUAUUACCAGCUGCAGAAAAUAUAACAAGAAGUUUUUUCCCCCUUUAUUCUUGUUGAGUCAUUUGAGCCUUUUACAUUCAUUCGUGAUAGAAACUUCUUACCUGAAUAAAAUUCAGCAUUGUAGACAUCAUCCAUUAAAUAUGAAAGUAUUUCAAAACAUGUACUAGUUCUAAGUUAUUUUAAUUUCUGAAUUUCCCUCUCUUUUCUCGUGUCUCUUUUUUACCUUGCUAAAGGGCAUACCCUUGAUAGAGCAAUUAUAUUGCAAGUAGGCUUGAGUGCAUGUGCAAUUUUGGUAGAAAAGUAAGAUUAGGUAGACAUAUAGUGGUUUCCCUGGUUGGAGGUGUUUGUUGAGCUUUCUGCAUCAAUAUUAUGUUUUGUGUGUGUGAAUUGUUCUCUUCAUCAUCACUACUCAAAAAAAUGAUGAUUUUCCAGCUUUGUCUAUGGUGUUCUCCGAAGAUUUCUACCUGAAGAGAAAGUCGAAUCAAUCAGGGGCCUUUCGUUGACCGCUGAUGGCAAGGGUGCAGUGUUUGAUGUGGCUACUGAAGAUCUGGACCAGUUUAUUGCUGAGCCGAAAAAUCAUU